GGCGGGUUCGGCUAGGGGUUAGGCCGCCAGACUCUCGAUCUGGAGACAGGGGUUCGAUUCCCCUACUCGCUG
rnacentral:tRNA from 1 species